UGAUGCCAUGGGGAUGAAUAUGGUGUCGAAGGGGGUGCAGAAUGUGUUGGACUAUCUUCAGAAUGAUUUUCCGGAUAUGGAUGUGGUCAGCAUCUCAGGGAAUUUCUGUUCGGACAAGAAGCCUGCUGCUGUAAACUGGAUAGAAGGGAGAGGCAAAUCAGUGGUAUGUGAGGCAGUCAUCAGGGCAGAUGUGGUGAAGAAGGUCCUCAAGACCACUGUGCCUGCUCUGGUAGAGCUCAACAUGAUCAAGAAUCUCGCUGGCUCAGCUGUCGCUGGUGCCUUGGGGGGAUUCAACGCUCAUGCCAGCAACAUCGUGUCUGCCGUCUUCAUUGCCACUGGCCAAGAUCCCGCCCAGAACGUCGAGAGCUCUCACUGCAUUACCAUG
rnacentral:misc_RNA from 1 species